rnacentral:rRNA from 1 species
AUUGAACGCUGGCGGCAGGCCUAACACAUGCAAGUCGAACGGCAGCACAGAAGAGCUUGCUCUUUGGGUGGCGAGUGGCGGACGGGUGAGUAAUGUCUGGGAAACUGCCCGAUGGAGGGGGAUAACUACUGGAAACGGUAGCUAAUACCGCAUAACGUCGCAAGACCAAAGUGGGGGACCUUCGGGCCUCACACCAUCGGAUGUGCCCAGAUGGGAUUAGCUAGUAGGUGGGGUAAUGGCUCACCUAGGCGACGAUCCCUAGCUGGUCUGAGAGGAUGACCAGCCACACUGGAACUGAGACACGGUCCAGACUCCUACGGGAGGCAGCAGUGGGGAAUAUUGCACAAUGGGCGCAAGCCUGAUGCAGCCAUGCCGCGUGUAUGAAGAAGGCCUUCGGGUUGUAAAGUACUUUCAGCGGGGAGGAAGGCGGUGAGGUUAAUAACCUUGCCGAUUGACGUUACCCGCAGAAGAAGCACCGGCUAACUCCGUGCCAGCCGCCGCUGUAACAC